rnacentral:rRNA from 1 species
GCGGAGGGAUCAUUACCGAGUUAUACAACUCAUCAACCCUGUGAACAUACCUAAAACGUUGCUUCGGCGGGAACAGACGGCCCCGUAACACGGGCCGCCCCCGCCAGAGGACCCCCUAACUCUGUUUCUAUUAUGUUUCUUCUGAGUAAAACAAGCAAAUAAAUUAAAACUUUCAACAACGGAUCUCUUGGCUCUGGCAUCGAGGAAGAACGCAGCGAAAUGCGAUAAAGUAAUGUGAAUUUGCAGAAUUCAGUGAAUCAUCGAAUCUUUGAACGCACAUUGCGCCCGCCAGUAUUCUGGCGGGCAUGCCUGUUCGAGCGUCAUUACAACCCUCAGGCCCCCGGGCCUGGCGUUGGGGAUCGGCGAGGCGCCCCCUGCGGGCACACGCCGUCCCCCAAAUACAGUGGCGGUCCCGCCGCAGCUUCCAUUGCGUAGUAGCUAACACCUCGCAACUGGAGAGCGGCGCGGCCACGCCGUAAAACACCCAACUUCUGAAUGUUGACCUCGAUCAGGUAGGAAUACCCGCUG